CUCAGGUGUAUCUCAGGUGUAUCUCAGGUGUAUCCCAGGUGUAUCUCAGGUGUAUCUCAGGUGUAUCUCAGGUGUAUCCCAGGUGUAUCUCAGGUGUAUCCCAGGUGUAUCUCAGGUGUAUCUCAGGUGUAUCUCAGGUGUG